GACCUCUAUAUUUACCACUGGACCGGCUGUUUCGUACGUUUGACAGCAAAUUUUUGUGCCCAUUUGAAGCGCCAAUAUCGUCUAAGCGAGUGUCCACAGAACUAAUUUUGACGUAUAAUUUCAAAUGGCUGUGAGAGAAGUGUUUGUUUAUUGGUUCACUGUAAAAUAAUUUUAGUACCACGGACACUCGCUACGUCUAACAGCGCCAAAAUGGCGAUUAUCAAACGGGCACAAAAGCACGUUGACAACAGCCUGUCCAGUGGUAAAUAUAGAGGUCAAUGGUAUAGGUAUAUUCAAUAUUUCAUGGUGGCCUAGUGGGUAAAGGACCAACCUCUAAAAUGAGGGCGCAGGUUCGAUCCAAGGUCAGGCAAGUACCAAUGCAACUUUUCUAAGUUAGACACCAUUGACUGUGUUUCGGAUGGCACGUUAAACUGUAGGUCCCGGCUGUCAUUGAACAUCCUUGGCAGUCGUUACGGGUAAUCAGAAGCCAGUAAGUCUGACACCAGUCUAACCAAGGGGUAUCGGGUUGCCCGGGUAACUGGGUUGAGGAGGUCAGAUAGGGCAGUCGCUCCUUGUAAAGCACUGGUACUCAGCUACAUCCGGUUAGACUGGAAGCCGACCCCAACAUAGUUGGGAAAAAGGCUCGGAGGAUGAUGAUGAUGCUUAUGUAUAAGCCACACUUGUAACUAUGUAUGUAAGAAAAUCUUGGAAUCUUAAUUUGACCCACUUCCCGGUCUUCGAUUAAGAUAAAAUUUUGCACACGCCCUGAGUUCUGAUGACAAUACAGGAUAAGCGUUUUUUUAGUUCUUUCUGUAUCUCUUUUCUAUUCUAACUCUCCCAUAACGGGCCUGCUGGAAGAAAUUUCUUGUGAGAUAAGCUGUGCCCUUGUACAAUUUUUUUCUAUUAUUUAUUUUUGUCUGUGUUUAAUAAAAAUAAAUAAAGGUAUAUUAACAUUUACAAA
rnacentral:lncRNA from 1 species